CAAAGGUCUAGACUUUUUGGAAGAUAAGGCCGGCCUGCAUUCAAAAACAGCCUCUUCUGACCCUGAUAUCCUCGAUAAGAGACACCUGGGAGUCUUGAUUACUGGCAGAGCAGAGGAAUCUGGAAGCCUUGCAAGGCAAAUGAUUGACUGCGGGGCAAGCUUCUUCCGCACAUUGCCCCCUCACAAUUUCCCAUCCCUUCCCCUUUAAAUAUCUCCUGCUCCACCAGGACUCCGAAAAAUGGUCUUUGAGAUGUGAAUCUGCCAUCUUCCCAGGUUGAUGGCUUCCUGGAUAAAGCAGCCUUUCUUUUGCCACCAACGCUUGUCUCUGGAGUGUUGGCUUUCGAGAAGCAAGCAGCUGAACCUGAGUUCGGAACCAGUCCUCUGACGGAUGAAUGGAAUAUUCUAUUUCAUAAAACACAUUUUUCAAUGCUUGCUAUGCUUCAGGAAUUGGGAUUUGGCUGAGAUCAUAAACAUAGUAUGGUAGACUUGAACUCAUCACAAUCCAGUGAAGGGCUGAGACAAAGGCAGGGAGGAUCCUGAAGGGGGCUGCCGUGAGAGAUGAAGCCAUCCCACACCUGUUCUAGCUGAAUUUGGCAAUGCUAGA